CAUGAGUCUGGGUUCGAAACCCCCUUAUUCCUUUUUAAACGUUUUUUUUUGCUGUUUUUUCUUUCAUCUUCUUCCUCGAUUCUUCUUCUCAGUUUCAUUAGUUACUCUUCUCACUCAAUCACCAUAUUUAUCGUUUCGCUACCUAGUCUUUUCAUCUUUUUGAUUCAGAUUUCUGACAGAUUUACUUAACAAUGAAAGCAAUUGAAGAAUUAAAUCGAUUUGGAUUUUGAUCUAAUCUCCUCAAAUUCAUCUGGGCUUUU